rnacentral:rRNA from 1 species
GACGAACCGUGCGAACGUUGUUCGGAAUCACUGGGCAUAAAGGGCGCGUAGGCGGACCUUCAAGUCAGGGGUGAAAUCCUCCAGCUCAACUGGAGAACUGCCUUUGAUACUGGGGGUCUCGAGUAAGGUAGGGGUGUGUGGAACUGAUGGUGGAGCGGUGAAAUGUGUUGAUAUCAUCAGGAACUCCGGUGGCGAAAGCGACACACUGGACCUUUACUGACGCUGAGGCGCGAAAGCCAGGGGAGCAAACGGG